AAGUCCGGGCUCCACAGGACAAGGGUGCCGGGUAACGCCCGGUGAAGGUAACUUUAAGGAAAGUGCAACAGAAAAGAAAACCGCCGAUUUUUCGGUAAGGAUGAAAAGGCGAGGUAAGAGCUCACCGGCGGUGUGGAGACACAUCGGCCUUGUAAACCCCACCCGGAGCAACGUCGUGGAAAGGCAUCAACUGUUGUCCGCAGGCCUUGAGGAGACGGCUUAAGUCUGUCGGUAACGGCAGGAUUAGAUAGAUGGUUGUCAUCAAACAGAACCCGGCUUACGGGCUUGG
rnacentral:RNase_P_RNA from 1 species